rnacentral:pre_miRNA from 1 species
AAUAAGUGCAGUUUUGCACUAUUUAUGUUCAACGUUUGACCGUUCGUCUUAUUUGAAAUUUUUUAUGAUUAGUAUUUUUAUUACUAUUAGAUGAUAAAACAUUAAUAAUACUUUAUGUAUGACUAAAUAUUUUUAAAUUUUUCACAAAUUUUUCAAAUAAGACGGACGGUCAAACGUUGAGCACGGAUAUUCACGGCUACACUUAUU